GGAUUUAAAUGCUCGCUCACUAUCUCGCACGCGCGCGUACCCGUCUGUCUUGGUGACUUGCGGGCUCCACGUUCAGCCUCUGUUCAGUUGACAUAUUCAGAUAUGUUGGAGGGCGGCAAAUUGAAGCACCGCCCCGCCCCGCCCCGCACACACUCAAGUUACGUCACUGCUUCGAGUAUCCCGGCGCUGAAACUGCCGCUGAAACUUUCUACUGCUGCGUGUUAAUCUGUGUAUGGGCGCUAAAACAGAAACAAAGAAGGAAAAUAAAAGCACCCUACCUCGUUCCAGAAACCAUCAUGGCUGAUCCACACCGUCACUUCCGUCUCCCUUUUGAUGUUGUCACUGCCGGUCCCGUCUCGAUGAUGUCGCUACCUGUUUUGUCACUUCUGGUUGACAUCUUGCUUGUUUUGGCUUUCCUAUAAAUACCCCAAUGUUGCAGAUAUCUGUGUCAAAUGUCUUAUUUUGAAUCCAUUGUUCAUUUUCAUUUUGACCUGUCCUUUGGACAUUAUAUGGGCAAUU